rnacentral:rRNA from 1 species
ACGAACGCUGGCGGCGUGCUUAACACAUGCCAGUCGAACGGAAAGGCCCUGCUUGCAGGGUACUCGAGUGGCGAACGGGUGAGUAACACGUGGGUGAUCUGCCCUGCACUUCGGGAUAAGCUUGGGAAACUGGGUCUAAUACCGGAUAGGAGCCAUCUUUAGUGUGGUGGUUGGAAAGUUUUUUCGGUGUAGGAUGAGCUCGCGGCCUAUCAGCUUGUUGGUGGGGUAAUGGCCUACCAAGGCGGCGACGGGUAGCCGGCCUGAGAGGGUGUACGGCCACAUUGGGACUGAGAUACGGCCCAGACUCCUACGGGAGGCAGCAGUGGGGAAUAUUGCACAAUGGGCGCAAGCCUGAUGCAGCGACGCCGCGUGGGGGAUGAAGGCCUUCGGGUUGUAAACUCCUUUCGCUAGGGACGAAGCUUUUUUGUGACGGUACCUAGAUAAGAAGCACCGGCUAACUACGUG